AGAGUUUGAUCAUGGCUCAGGAUGAACGCUGGCGGCGUGCUUAACACAUUCAAGUCGUACGGACAAAAGGACUUCGGUCCUCGAGUUAGUGGCGGACGGGUGAGUAACGCGUGAGCAAUCUGCCUUCGAGUGUGGAAUAACAGACGGAAACGGCUGCUAAUACCGCAUGACGUAUAUUUGCCGCAUGACAGAUAUACCAAAGAUUUAUCGCUCGAAGAUGAGCUCGCGUCCCAUUAGACAGUUGGUGAGGUAACGGCCCACCAAAUCUACGAUGGGUAGCCGGACUGAGAGGUCGAACGGCCACAUUGGAACUGAGAAACGGUCCAGACUCCUACGGGAGGCAGCAGUGGGGAAUAUUGGGCAAUGGGCGAAAGCCCUGACCCAGCGACGCCGCGUGAAGGAAGAAGGUCUUCGGAUUGUAAACUUUAGUCGACAGGGAAGAAACAAAUGACGGUACCUGUAGAGGAAGCCACGACUAACUACGUGCCAGCAGCCGC
rnacentral:rRNA from 1 species